AUGCCAGCUAUUGGCAUGACAUUUGAAAGUGAUGGUCAUGCACACCGAUUCUACAAUGAAUAUUCAGCUAUUGCUAGGUUCUCAAUUCAGAAAGCUGCAAACUAUCACUGCCAGAAAAAAGAUGCACACAACAACAAAAUGACGAGGUUCACUAUGAAGUGUAACAGAUCUGGUAAACUUAGGAUAAGGACAAAACCAACAGCUGUAGGAGCAAAUGCACCAACUGAGCUAGAGAAUACGACAGACAGAAGAAGAAACUACACAAUUAAAACAGGCUGUCAAGCUCAGAUGGUUGUCACCUGGAAAUUUGAUAUAGAACAGUGGGUGGUGGCAAGGCUUAUCAUUGAGCACAACCAUGAUCUGCAUCCACCAGGGGAAGUCAGGUUCCUUAGGUCACACAAAUAUAUCAUUGACCAAGAGAAGGACUUAAUCAGAACUUGCAAACGGGUGAACAUACCAACUAGAAAAAUAAUGUCAAUAAUGGCGUUCUUUCGAGGAAGAGGGCUUUCUUCAUUGCCAUAUACAGCAAAACAGAUUAGCAACAUGGGCACGAAAAUGAGAAGAAAUAACGGCUUGAAUGACAUGAUGCAGGUGGUCUCAUUUUUUGAACAAAAAAAAUCAGAAGACCCUUUGUUCUUCUACUCAUUCAAAACAGAUCCAGCUAAGAAUGUCAUGCAUAUAUUUUGGGCAGAUGGCACUGGUAUAAGGAACUAUCAACAAUAUGGUGAUGUCCUCAGUUUUGACACAACUUACAAAACAAACAAAUACAAUCUGAAGUUUGCUCCUUUUGUGGGUGUAAAUGAACACGGAGACAACUGCCUCUUCGCAUGUGGUUUCAAACAAGAUGAGAAGAAGGAAACUUUUGAGUGGUUAUACAAAACUUUUCUAAAGUGCAUGGGAGGGAAAGCUCCAAAAUCUGUGAUAACAGAUCAAGAUGCAGCAAUGAAAAAGGCAGUGCCUAAGUGUUUUCCUAGUUGCACGCACAGGAACUGUUUGUUCCACAUUCUAACAAAAGCGCAGAACAAAGCUAGAAGAAUAUUUGCAAGGAACCAGCAUUUGAAUGCCCAGUUUCAUGACAUAAUCCUAAACUCACAAACAGCCGACGAGUUCGAGGAACUCUGGCCAAAGAUGAUUCAACAACACAAUGUUCAACAUAUCAAGUACAUUGGAAUUAUGUGGAAAAACAGAAAGAGAUUUGUACCUGCGUACUUCAAAAAUGACUUUUUUCCAUUCAUCCAGACAACAACAAGAAGUGAAGGAACAAAUGUUGUAUUCAAAGCAAAUGUAGGGUCAAGUCAUAGUGUGAUUGCUUUCAUGACAGAGUUUGACAGGAUAUCACAAAGU
rnacentral:rRNA from 1 species